rnacentral:rRNA from 1 species
GAUGAACGCUAGCUACAGGCUUAACACAUGCAAGUCGAGGGGAAACGACAUCGAAAGCUUGCUUUUGAUGGGCGUCGACCGGCGCACGGGUGAGUAACGCGUAUCCAACCUGCCCACCACUUGGGGAUAACCUUGCGAAAGUAAGACUAAUACCCAAUGACGUCUCUAGAAGACAUCUGAAAGAGAUUAAAGAUUUAUCGGUGAUGGAUGGGGAUGCGUCUGAUUAGCUUGUUGGCGGGGUAACGGCCCACCAAGGCGACGAUCAGUAGGGGUUCUGAGAGGAAGGUCCCCCACAUUGGAACUGAGACACGGUCCAAACUCCUACGGGAGGCAGCAGUGAGGAAUAUUGGUCAAUGGACGAGAGUCUGAACCAGCCAAGUAGCGUGCAGGAUGACGGCCCUAUGGGUUGUAAACUGCUUUUAUAAGGGAAUAAAGUGAGUCUCGUGAGACUUUUUGCAUGUACCUAAUGAAUAAGGACCGGCUAAUUCCGUG